CCUACGGGAGGCAGCAGUGGGGAAUAUUGGGCAAUGGGCGCAAGUCUGACCCAGCAACGCCGCGUGAAGGAAGAAGGCUUUCGGGUUGUAAACCUCUUUUUUCAGGGACGUAGCAAGUGACGGUACCUGAGGAAUAAGCCACGGCUAACUACGUGCCAGCAGCCGCGGUAAUACGUCGGUGGCAAGCGUUAUCCGGAUUUACUGGGUGUAAAGGGUGUGUAGGCGGGAAGGUAAGUCAGAUGUGAAAACCAUGGGCUCAACCUGUGGCCUGCAAUUGAUACUGUUAUUCUUGAGUACUGGAGAGGCAGGCGGAAUUCGUGGUGUAGCGGUGAAAUGCGUAGAUAUUAGGAGGAACACCAGUGGCGAAGGCGGUCUGCUGGACAGCAACUGACGCUGAGGCGCGAAAGCGUGGGGAGCAAACAGGAUUAGAUACCCGAGUAGUC
rnacentral:rRNA from 1 species